rnacentral:rRNA from 1 species
AACGAACGCUGGCGGCAUGCCUAACACAUGCAAGUCGAACGAGACCUUCGGGUCUAGUGGCGCACGGGUGCGUAACGCGUGGGAACCUGCCCUUAGGUUCGGAAUAACUCCCCGAAAGGGGUGCUAAUACCGGAUAAUGUCUUCGGACCAAAGAUUUAUCGCCUUUGGAUGGGCCCGCGUUGGAUUAGUUAGUUGGUAGGGUAAAAGCCUACCAAGGCGACGAUCCAUAGCUGGUCUGAGGGGAUGAUCAGCCACACUGGGACUGAGACACGGCCCAGACUCCUACGGGAGGCAGCAGUGGGGAAUAUUGGACAAUGGGCGAAAGCCUGAUCCAGCAAUGCCGCGUGAGUGAUGAAGGCCUUAGGGUUGUAAAGCUCUUUUACCCGGGAUGAUAAUGACAGUACCGGGAGAAUAAGCUCCGGCUAACUCCGUG